ensembl:lncRNA
CCCAAGCGUGCCCUCAGCUGUCUUGGUGCGGAUUUCUUCCCUGCUGAUGUGUCUUUGGGGUGUUUUGGGUGAGCAGUUUUUGACAUGUUGAACGGGAAAUUGCUUUUUUCCCUCCUGCUCAUGAGACUCCACACUUAAGACUUUAAUUGCAGAAGGCUCUGGGGCUGGCGAGCGCUGGCCUCAGCCUGGCGGGUGGGAGCGAGGCAGCUCCCGGUGCCGGUGCCGGCAGAGCCAAGCAGGGAGGGUCUGGGAGGCUCCAAUCUCCUCCGGCCACGGCCGCCCUGCUGCUCCUGGGGGCCAGGAGGUGCUGUCAGAUGUGGGCACUGUUACUGCCAGGAGUCGCUCGUCCUUUAACUCCUGUGUUCUCAGACCUGCCAGCCCAUCUAAAAAAUUUUAAAAGGGACCUAAAUGUGAGGGAGGGCCCACAUUUCACCCCAAGUGGUAAAAUGUUGACACUGGUAGACUGGCAACCGCUUGGAAAUUGAUACAAAUAGAUACACCCAAAACCACUAUAAAUAAAUCAGGAUGGAAUCCUAAUGUUCAAGUAAUCCACAGAAAGGCAAGAGAAGACAAACAGAGGAAGCAAACAGACAAACAAUAAUAAAGUAACAGAUUUAAGUCCUAACAUACUGAUAAUGUACCUUAAAUGUAAAUUAUUUAAAUACACCAAUUAAAAGGAAGAGUUUGGCAGAGUUCAGUUUUUAAAAUGACCCAAGGAUAUGCUGUUUACAAGAAACUUGCUUCAAAUUCAACAAUGACCUUUCCCUGAGGAGGACAUACAAAUGCAAAGAAACACGGGAAAGGACAGCCCGCAUCGGGAGCCGAUAGGCAGAUGCGAAUUAAAACCAUGAUGAGAUAUCACUGCACACCUAUCAGAAGGGCGGAAAUGAAAAAUAGUGACCACACCAAAUUCUGGCGCGGAUGCAGAGAACCCGGAUCCCUCCCACAGCGCCAGCGGGGAGGAGAAGUGGCACAGCCCCUCUGUCAAACAGUUCGGCCGUUUCUGACGAGACUAAACAUGCAAUUAGCACAUGACUCAGCAGUUGCGUUCUCCAGCAUUUAUCCCAGGGAGAGGCAGGCUUGCGUUCUCACAGGAGUCUGCUCCCGAAUGUGCGUAGCAGCCUUCUUCUAAUAGCCAAAAAUCGGAAACACCCAGAUGACCUUCAAUGGGUGAAAGGUUAAAUGGCACAUCCACACCAUGGAAUACUACUCAGCAAUAAAAUGGAUCGUUGACACACACAACAACUUGGAUUAAUCUGCCGGGAAUUGUUUUGAGUGAAAAAAGCCAGUCCCAAAACGUCACGCGGUGUGUGAUCCUAUUUAUAUAACAUUCUUGAAAUGACGAAAUUCUAGAAACGGAGAGCAGUUAGUGGGUCUGGGUGGCGGUCGGGGGGUUGGAGGCAGAGGAGGGCGGGAGGUGGGUGUGGUUACAAAAGGAGAACAAAAGAGAUUGUUGAGGUGAUGGAACAGGUCAGUAUCUGGGCUGUGGUGCUGGAGGACCCUACACAGGCAAUAGAAUUAUACAGACUAAAUACACACACGCAUGUGCGGACAAGCCAAACUGGGGACGUGUCCGUAGACGGGCGCCUUGCAUCAGUGUCGAGAUUCUGGUUGCGAUGCUGUGCUGUAGUUUUACAAGAUGUUACCACUGGGGGACGCUGGGCAGAGGGCACACGGGAUCUCUGUGUGUUACUUCUUACAAUACCAUGUGAAUCUACAAGGAUCUUAACAUGAAAAGGUCGAUUCCAAAGAUGAAUAAACAAAAAAUAAAUGAAACCAAUCAAAAUUCCCUCUGGACCGCACUGAGCUCCAGUUCGGCCCUCUGUCUGCCUGCCCCAACACCUCUGCCCCCAUCCCGGAUCGGGAUUCCUCAACCGCAUUGCCCUCCGUCUGCUCCCAGCUGCCUCCAGCCCUCAGUGACCAAAGCACAGCACAAAAUUCAAGGUUACGGCUUCUCCUGGGCUAUCCCAAAAGCAAAGCCUGAGACAGGACUGGCUUGAUUUGCAGGUGGUUUGUUUGGAAAAGCGACCCCAGGGAGAGGAGUAAGGAGGAGAGAGCGGGUGGCAGGGAAGGGGGUGAACCAGCGUGAGGAUGUCUUGUGGAGUGGCUGUCGCUAUGUGCUACUGGUGCCUGGCCCUGGGCGCCUCCGGAGCAUGAAAGGGAGAAGCAUUUGUUCAUCGCAGGCUCCCGCUGGUUGAGGGUGACUCUGAGGGUAUACUUAGGGGCUGCAGGUGUGUGGGUGCUGAGUGGGCUCCUUUGGGCUCCCCGACCUUGGGCAGGAAUCAAGAGGAGCCAGGACUUAAAGAACAGGAAAGAGCUCAUGUCCAUCUCUGGCUUCUGAGCCGCGUCAGCUUCCCGUGGUGCCCUGCGGAGCCUCAGUGCAUCGCACACCCUGUGGGGCCCCCCACUCAGCCUGCCCCUCAGGGGCUUCCAUCCCAGCAAAGUGGCUCCAUCCGCCCGGAUGCUCAGCCAGGCUCUGGAGCUUGCCCCUCUUCUGCCCCUUCAUCAGAGCCAUUGCUAAAGCUGGCCUCUGUCCACCUCUGUCCACCCGCCCCGUCCUUGUGUGACCACUGUGUCCUGGAGCCCUGCCCAGCCUCGUGCCUCCCCUCCCAGCCUCCAUCCCAUUCUGCCCACCCCAGCAGGAGAGGGGCUUUUUACCCCGCAGGGCGCCGGGAGCAUCCUCCUGCAGACUCCCAGUGGUGUCUGUGGCCUUUAGAACAAAAUGCAAUUCCAUACCUCGGCCUCCAGGUCCCACCCCACACGCUCCCUCCUCUCCACGCUGGCCAGGCAUGCGGCCCUCGUCCCGGCCUUGGCACACAGGACAAGCUGGCCUCCGUCCCUCAGGCAUCAGCGCACGUUCCACGUCUUCAGAGGCCCUUCCUGACCAGCCGACCCGCCCAGUAGGGCCCCACAGUCCUGUCACAGCCUGGGUCGCACUUAGUAAUCACGCGUUUAUCUGAUACAGACACUGGCAGAGUCUGCAAAUGUUCAUUAAGUGCCGGUUGAGCGCCUACCUGUGCCGGGACUGUGCUGUGAGCUUCCGCACACUCUCGGGCAUCUCAUCCCUUAGUCGCUGCCCGGGAGCAUCCUUUCCACCACGCAGCUGGAGAAAACCAGAGCUCGGGAGGGUGAGCAGCUUCUCCGAGGGAGCAGGAAGCUGAUGGAGGCCAGGUCUGCUCUGACUCCCAGCCCACAGGGACUAGAUCCAGCCUAGGGGGAGGUACUCGGAAGCCAGGCUGGCCCGAGGCCAAGAGCAGCUCCCCCCCCCUUGUAACUUGCCAUCGGGGGACGAAGGGGAUGCAUCCAGGCCAGGGCGAGGAGGCCAGGCAGGCUGAGGUUCCCAGGGUCACAGAGCAGAACCUCCCAAGCUUUGAAACAGACCCGCUGAGCUGGCGAGUGGGGCAGACCUCGCCUGCAUGAGCCUGAGUCUCUGCGGGCCAGGCUGGCGGCCCCCGUGAGGGAGGUCCCAUUGGGGACACACCCUUCAUGCGCGAGGAAGGACUGUGUGUUGGGGACCGCAGCGUCUGAGUUCACUGGGUCACAAGCCAGGCGUUUCCUGCGGCCACCUCCUGGCCUGAGCAGUUGUCCUAUGAGACUUCUGCCGAGGGUCAAGCUCAAAGCUGACGACCUCUCUCCCCAGAGGCCAUGACUCUGGGGUCUGUGGGGGGCGCCCUGGGCUACUGGUAAAGUCGAGGGGUGGACAGAAGUGGGGCCUGGCUGAAGCCUGUGCAGUGUCCCUCCUGUGCCCUCCCCAGCACGCACCCAGCUGCUCCGGGCCGCCCAGCUCGGAGAAAACUCACAGAGAGAUCGAAAGUCCCUGUGUGCCUGGCUGGUGGUGUGGAGGGGCACUGGAGGCCCCCAAACCCCAGGGGGCCAGCAGGGGCCUGGCAGGAGGAAGUCCCUGGGGUGGUGCCUGCAGAAGCGCUGAGUUCCCAAAGUACGUGGUUUAGGACAAGAUGGUGGAUGGUGGCUCUGCGGCCCAGUGAGGCUGAGAACUCCCCUAGGUCACAGGUCACAGACCAGGGCCUGCCACCCCCACCCAGGGAGGUCGUUGCAGCAGGUGCCGCAGCACUGCCGAGCGGGAUUCGGGAUUUUAGUUACAAGUGGGCCUCAAUGCUCGGGGUCUUCCAGACUCUGUGUCCCCCCACAGCACAGCAUCCAGGGCUUGGGGGCGCUUGGUGAAGGUCACCGCAGCCAGGACAUGGAUGGGACCGGCGUGUGUGUCCUGAGAGAGAGGAGACUGCAUCAGCUCCACCCUGGGCCCCAAAUUGCUCCAGGGCAGAGGUCCUCCAGCUUUUCCCAGGUAUCUCGCUGCAAACCGAAGAAGAGAGGUCGUGCGGAAAUUGCAGGCCUGCGGCCACUAGGAGCCAAGAGAGGCCCAGCCUGGCAGGUCACCUGGGGCCACUGAGAUUGUCCCCGGCCUCCCCUCCCCGGCAGGUGGGGAAUCCGUCUCUCUAGUUCCUCCAAAUCACGGUUCACGGCCCUGCCUGUGCAGCAGAACCCCCAGCAAUUUUGUGUGAAAAGCACAGAUUCCGAUGCAACUAGUCUGGCGGAGCCCCAGCAAGGCGUUAUUUUAAAGCUCCUGGUGAUUCGCAGCCCAGGCAGAAAGCUCCCUCCAGUCCCCAGCGCCACUGCAGCACCGGCCACGCCGCCGACGUCUCAAGGCCUCCACCUGUCUGUCUGUGAAACGGGAGCAGGACACCUACCUCGCGGGGGCGUGGUGAGAAUUAAGGGGAAAAACUGAGACUUAGUAAUGAGUGUCCCCCCCCCCCGAAGUCCCUCCCCCGGGUCAUCCGAGCCCUGCUUCAGGGCAGCUGCAUAUGUGGAGCUGGAACCAACAGCCCUGGGUCCAAACUCUGACAUUGCUGUUUUCCAGCUGUGACCUUGGGCAAAGGUCGUAGGAAGUCCCAGGGAGUUUUUAAAAAUAUAGACCUCAGACCCCAUCCCAGGCUGACCCAACAAGGACCCUCAAGGAGCAGGAUCCUCGUGUUUCUACCUGAACCAGAACGCCAGGCUCCCAAGACAGCCAGCCUGGCGCCUGCGUCUGGGGUCUGAAACUUCAGACCUCUGAGCAUCUGUUUUCCUUUCUGUUAAAUAGGGUGGUGACAGGGACCCCACAGUCCUAAAGGAAAGGGCUCGAAGCCCAAAGGGCGGUGACAGGCCUCAGCUUCUGCUUCCUCCCCCUGCGCCCCGGCUCCCGAUCCCUCAGGGCUCUGUGUGCCUUCUCCUGGUGGCCUUCAUGAAGGCACAGUGGUGUCAGGGGUGCUCCUGCCCCACUCUCCACUGGACGGCCUUCCCUGGGGUAGCGCUCCUAGCCCAGGGCCUGCCUCCACCCCGGUGAGCAGUCUGACUGGUGAGUCUGGAGGAAAGAGAGGAACAUGCCUGCCUCAGCCUCCCCGUCCCGCAGUGGAAUCACCAGCUGCACAGAGUACUUGGGAGCCUCGGUGCUCCAGGCCCGGAAACAGGGGCAGCUCCCAGAGCAGGAGCUGCUGCGUGAGUGAUUUGUGGGUCCCAGUACAAAAAGAAAAUGCGGGGGGGCCCUUGUUCAAAGAUUCUUAAAAAUUCCAAGACAGCGACAGCAGAGCAUUAACCCGAGCAAGGGGUGCCCGUACCCCAGGGCUCAGCUGUUGACGCAGUGGGAAGUCAGCAGCAAGCCGAGGCGUCUUCUCAGCCCGCGUGCCUCUGACCCGCUGCCGCCUUGCUCCCGCCUCUCAGAGCCUUGUGUCUCAGUCUUCACUCAGUUUACGUGGGGCAAAGGGGAGCUUCUCACUGACGCACUCAAGACCCCAGCAGUCAGAAGAGACUUGGCAAGAAGACACCCUGUGCACCCGGGCCCCGACUUCUAGAACCAUGGGAUACACGGCCUUCCCCUGAUCCCACCCAAAUCCCUCCUGUGGCAACGUCGGCCCGUCCUCUGCCCCAAGUAGCGGGUACUUCCUCAUGGCGCCCAAGACACCCACACUGGUCCUGCGCUCUCACUUCCCCUCUGCGCACGCCUGGAGCAUGACGCUGUCAUCCCGGGUUUCUCUCCACUUCGCGUCAGUAAAUCCUGCACAGGUACCCACCCCUGCACCCUCUCCACCUGCACCCGGUCAUAGCCACCACCCUCCCAGACCAGGUGGCUGCAGUGUUGGCUGCAUCGGCCUCCCCUACCCACCCUCCAGAAUGCAUUUCCCAGUCGAGCAGCCAAGGUGCUCCUGCCAAGCGCUCCGGCUCUCCCUGCAGGGGACACGCAGGCCCGCCUCAGGGCCCUGGAGUCAAAGCCUCAGGCUGCGGCAGCUCCUCUGAGACAAGUGGUCCCAGACCCCAAGGACCAGUCCCCUGCGUCCCCAACUCCAGGCCGACCUUCAGUCCGAGCUGGGCUGUUUGGCUACUUGUUUUCCAACCUGUUGAAGGUCCCCCUGCCCUGCCCUCCAAGCUGAGACUCCCAGCGGUCGGAGCACACGUGCCUGAGGGCAGGCACAGGGCAGGAGGGUGGCUGGCAGAGCGCAAGACCCCUCCACCCGCCGCUUCAGUGGUCUCAGUGGGCGGAUGAAGAGAUGCUGCCUCCAGACACUGCCUCCAGCCCGGGGCUCCCUGGGGAGGUGUCCCCCCCAGACUUCCAAUCCCGGAAAGGGGUGGGCAUCUCCCUAAAGGAGGGAGGAAGGAGGAGGAUGGGCCGGGGUGUGGAGGUGUAGAGGUAACCCCCCCUUCUUCUUUCCACCUCCACUCCAGAGCUGGUCCACGUGGGGGGAUCUUGGGGAUGAGCGCUUAAGGAGGCUGCUGGUCUGCCUGGAAUCCCCCUGGGGUUGUUCGAAUGCAGAAUCCAAGGCCUUCCCAGCCCACGCUGUACCCGCCUCUCUGCGGGUAAUCCUUACAUACAUCCGCGUUUAGGAACCUUGGGGAGGGCUGGAGAGAGGGGUGAACACGGGGGUCUGCCUGGUGGGGGAAGCAGAGUGAGGGACUGCACAGGGUGGGGGAUGCUGAAGAUAGAGACCAAGUCCAGAGCCUUGCAAAGGCCCCGCCCCUCCCCCAAGCCAGCACUUAAUCCUGUCCCUGCUACUUAACCUCUCCCACCAGAGACCCGGGCACUUUAACUCCAUUUAAAUAAGCCCUUGAGGGCUCAGAAGAAAUUGCUGCCAGCAAUUCAGAAGCCCUGAGCCCUGAGGGCAGUCAGAGGCUUUCUGUCCAGCUGCCCUGGGUUCCAGGCUGUUGCCAGAAGCCUCCGCACGGCUUGGAGGCCCAAGCCUGCCAUCCAGGGCAGGGGGCUCCCCUGGGAGGAUGCCACCAGUACCCAAAAGCCUGGCCCAGGCCUCUUGGGCCCCACUCACUGGCCGCCUGGCUUAGCUUCCCCCAGUUCUCUUUAGCUCAAGCAAGGCGGGCCCCAGUUGGGCAGACCUGGACCCCAAUCCUCUUCCGGGCUGAGAAUGCUGGGCAAUUACUUAGCCCAAUUACUGCCGUGGGCAACUACUUCCUCUUCUGCAAAAUGAGCUUCACAGCUCUUGUAAGGGUUGAAUGAACGAUGUCCAUAAAACCCCUGGCCUGGUACCUGGCAGGUUGGAGAGGUUCGUGGCCACGGAGAAGAAGCGCUCAGUACCAGGAGUGGUGUGAGCAGAACCAGUCCCUCCAGGGCUAAGCAGAAUGGGUCCCUCCAGCAUCCCUGAGCCUCCAGCAUCCGAGCCGCUCAGCACCCAGAAGAGCUGAUCAUUAAACAUUUACCAGCACAUCUCUGAUGAAGGCAUUGAGGAUGGGUGAAAUUUCUGGAAGACUGUGAGCUUGGUGGGUCUCUACCCUGGCUGCACGUGAGGGUCACCUGAGGAGCUCUUAGCAAAUCCCAACACUCAAACACCACUCCAGACGGAUUGAAUCAGAAACCGGAGGAAGCAGAGGAAUGGGGGCAGUGAGCUAGAGAGGGUCCCGGGGUCACAGGAGAAGACUGCCCGCCAGAGUGUGUUAGCCGGCGAACCGAAUGCCCUUUGACUGGGAGGUGCUGCUGACGCUGACGAGAGAGAAGAGACAAAGUCCAUGGAUGACCAAGGAGUGAGGUCCAGAGGCCACACGGCAGGAGAAGAGCCAGCCAGGCGUCGGGGUGCGGCGAACGGAGGCCCUGCCGGGAGUCCCAGCAGUUCACAUCUCAGUGAGCAGCUGACGGCACCGCUCGCUCGGCUGCCCCAGCCGGGCCACCAGCCCUGCGAGAGACACAUGCGCAGACCCGUCCUCAAGGACGCAGCCCUGUAAUUACCCUCAGCUGCCAGCAAACAGCAUCCACUGAAAUGAUAAGCAGACGGUGGAGGCCGGCCCCUCCCGGGGCUGCUCCAGGCGGCAUCCCGCAGACACCUCGGUGGUACGUGCUGUCCGCUGACAUCAGCAGCUUCCUGCCUGUAACAGAAGCCCUGACUCAGGGAGAAGAAGCCCUUCCCAAAGAAACCCAAGCUCCAGCCGCCCCCUGCCAGCCAGCCAGGCUCCUAGGCUGCUGGAAAACUGCUGUGUCCCGGGUGGAGUGAGCCCAGCAGACAGAGGACACAUAAUUAAUGUGACCUUCCAGAUGCAGAGACCCAGUGUGACAGCCUCACGGGUGCCUGUGAAGGCCACCGCCCACCAGGCCUGAUCUCAUUUUCUAAGUCAACCCAGGUGGACCUCCCUGGAGGAUGUGGGUUGGAGGCUGUGCCCUCUGUCCGCGCUUGCUUUGGUCCAGAGGAAGCCCCCUCGCCAAGCCUGAUGCCAGGUUUGACCCCACUGGGCAUACAAAUGACUACACGACCACUGACACUGGGUCCAGACACUGGUGCUGCCUCAGGUCCCCAGGGCUGCGAGGGACACGAGCCAGGGAAGUGACACCCGGCUCCAAGAGGCCCGGUUCCAGAGGGCUUUGCUCAGUGAGGUUUUGGAAGGUGUCACAGCUUGCCUUGGAGACGCUGUCAGUGCAGUGCCACGAGCCACACGUGGCGUUCGAACGCUCAAACGCAGCGAGCGCCAGUGGACAGCUGCCCAACGUGCAAAAUCCACACGAGAUUUCCAAGACGGAGAACAAUGAAAAUCAGGAAACUUAAAAUUACAGAUGCGUUUCACAUGAUGCUUCCACGGGAUAGCACUGCCCUAGACCCUCAGGAUAAAUGGACAAGCCCACUGGCCCCCCAGCUCCUGUGAUGACGUCAGCACAGCCAGCCUUCAAUCCCCGGUCCAGGCACCAUGGAGUGACACUGAGCAAGUCAUUUGGCCUCUCUGGGCGUCCUCCAGUCCCAAAGGGCCCAUUGGGAGGAUGCAACGAGGAGUUUCAUGAAGUACUCAGCACCAAGCACUGUGGUCACCUAUAAAGGCACCAGGGCCUAACUGAAAUUCGGCCCUGGUGGUCAGCGUCACCAUCUACUCCACAUUUUACACAUUCCUUCAAGAAGGAUUGCUACACGCAUGCCAGAGUGCCUGCUAGGGACAGAAGGAGACAUGGGAGAAACCGCAGGCACGUCCCACUGGCCGGGUGUGCUGGUCCAGCUGGGGAGAUAAGGCGUGCCGUGUGCACACAGACUUGAAAGAGUGACGUCCCCAUCCCACAUCACUGAUGAAGUGUCACCACGAGAGCUGCAGAUGUGACGGCUGCCGGGGGGAGGGGGUCCACGUGGCAGGCUCUGGCGGUUCUCAGAGCAGGCGCCUGGGGCCCAGCAGUCAGGCACAGUGUGCACAGAGUAGGCGCUCAAUGACUUUUAAGAGCACGGACAUGGGCAAUGGGUGUUGGCAGUCCCAACUCCGACGCUUCGCAGCUGUGGGAACCCGUUUAUUCGCAUCUGAGACUCAGUUUUCUCAUCUGUAAAAUGGAGAUAAGACCCAGCGUCAGGGCUCUUAUGAGGGGCUGGUCUGUGAGCAAAGGCCCUCUCACCCGGCCUGGGAUGUAGGGCGCGCUCGGCAGAGGGUCAUCCCCUCCCUCCUUGCCCUGAAAGGGAGGGGUGCAGCCUGAGCGGGGCAGGGCCCUAAAGGGGGGCGAGGGGAGGCUGCCCAGUGGGGACAGGGCUCCUCCAAGGGAAGCCGGGGGCAGACGGGGCCGAGGAGCAAGGGCCAGGCAGCAGGUGGGUCCCAGGAGGCCCUUGGUGCUCAGAUGCACGGAAUAGGGCAGCUUGGGCAGGAGUGAGUAAGGAAAUGGGUGUUUGGGGCGGAUUUUCAGGAAAAGGAGAAGCAGAGAGGCCAGGGCUACGGCCUUCGGGGUGAGGGCUGGACCUAGGGCAGGGGCUGUGGGGAAGGAAGGACCGAGAACAGCCCUAAAAGGUCUAUCUUUCCAGACCUUUCUCUGGGCACGCGUGUUUAGAGGGCAGCUGUGGGGUUUUUAUGGCAUCGUGCUGUGCGUCCACUGAGCGAUUCUCUCAUCACACCCUGCCCGUUCAGGGGCAUUUUGGUGGAAGCAAACGACAGCUCUGGGGCUCAGAGCCCCUCUUCUCUGAGUGCCCCACCCUCUCAGGGCCCAGCCAGGGCCUCGUCUGCGGACUGCCUUCAUCUGUAGGAUGGAUAAGAGUGGGCAUCUCACAGGCUGGCACGAAUGUGGAUGAGAAGGCCUGUGACAGCCUCUGGCCCUUGGCAGGUGCUCGGCAAAGAUGCACGGCCCUUCCUUUUCCACCACCAAGGAAAGGAUGCAGGACUCUAGGCCAGGGCCUGCCUGGGCAGGCAGGGGCGUGAGAAACAAGGCCUGUGGCAGACGCCCCCAGGGCCGGAUCGUGGUCCCGCCCGAACUUGGGGGCUUAAAAAAACAGAAGUUUCUUCUCCCCAGCUCUAGAGACCAGAAGUCCAAAAUCAACGUGUCAACAGGGUCACGCUGCCCCGAAGGCUCUAGGGGAGGACGCUUCUUUGUCUCUUCCAGCUUCCAGCGGCCCCAGGUGUCCUUGGCUCAUGGCUGCAUCACUUCCAUCUCUGCCUCCACCCUCACGUGGCCUUCUGGAGACGUCAGAAUGUCUCUGUGCGUCUUCUCCUCUUCAGUCUCUUACAUGGGCGCUCGUCAUUAUAUUUGGGGUCCGCCCUGAUCCAGGAGGAUCUCAUCUCGGGGUCCUUACUUUAACUACAUCUGCAAAGACCUUUAUUCCAAGUAGGGUCACAUUCUGAGGUUCCGGGAGACAUAUUGCGGGGGCUACUAUCCAACCCAUUAUAGUCUCCCCCUUGCCCCCCAAAUUCACAUCCAUCCCACGUGCAAACUACAUUCACCUCUCAUGCCCUCUUGCAUAUUGUUCAACUGUCUUUGCCUCGGUUUACCCCGCAGAGCUGAGGACAAUAAUGACCACCUCAUGCAGUGGUCGUGUGGAUAACAUAGGAGUGUAUUUACCGGGCGCCCAGCCCAAGGCUCGGUGGGACCAAGUCACGGGAGCUGCCGUCAGACAGUCCUCAGCCCCCACCACCCCUCCCCAGCUCCACCUUCUGAAACGAUAAUCUCCACGACAACGGGGACUUGUGUCUGUUUAACUCACUCCACAUUGUUCCACAAACCCCAGGCCCUCCUGCCGGCUGGUCACGAUGUGUGGAGACCCAGGGCCUCGUCGGGGCCCAGGGAAUAAAAGAGAAGAUCUGGGGGCGCGGCUUCCAGCCGGAGGUGUGGGGUCAAGUCCCAGCCCUGCCGCCACCACACACAGUUGGAACCUCAGUUUACCCCUCUGUAAGUGGGGGAUAAGGCAGGUCUGAGCCACCAGAACACAACCCUGCGUGCUGCCAUCCUGGGCACACAACCCAGUGGGUUCCCAGCCCCCUGCGCAAUCCAGCAGGCGGCUCCCCAGGAGCUGGAUGGCGCCCUGGCCCCCCUCUCGUGGCCUCUUCUAGCCAGCGGCCAGGGUGGACGUUAGCCCAGCCCUGCCCAGCCGAGCCAUCCAGGCCACCCCCACGUGUCCAAGGCUGGCACUGGGUUUGGUGUUAAAAGACCCCCUUCACAAGCAGUGAGCCGAAGACCCAAAAUAGAUGACACGGGUGCCCCAAGCCUGAUUCUGCUUCUCAGAGAGCACCCUGCCCCCAACAGAGUCCUGAGGACUGCCUGGGCUCGGUCCCCUGACCGGGCACUUCCUGGACCCAUAUAGACCCAGCAGAGGGGUCAACUCACACCCAGGGCAAAAAGUCUCCCGCUUGCACCCAGGGGUCGCCGUUCAAGGUCAACAGGGACUGAGGGACCCUCCACAGGGCAGCAGUGACAGCUCCUGGGCUCCAAGCCCCAUGGCCCCCAGGCGCUCCACGGGCCCCACAUGCGAGGCUCCCGGGACUCUGGAGCCUGCGGCUGGGCCGCAUGUGACGUCUUCUUCCGCAGAGAGCAGCGAGGUGCACAGCUCAGGCCCGCUGGCCUACAGGUGAUGUGCGUCCCUGGCCCCAGGGAUCCUCAUCCUGGGUGGGGGUUCUCACUCGGGCUUGGCUGUCCGGCACCUCCCUGUCUUAACAGCAAUCAUAAAAACAAUAAAAAUAACAGUACUAGUUAACAUGUGUGUGCCUUGCUCCCGCCUGGUGCUGCGCAAAGCACUUCACCUGUUCACCCAGUCAAACUUCAGGACUACCAACCCACUUAUCACCAGCCUCCCUUUCAGCAUGGGGAAACUGAGGCACAGGGCAACAACUCACUUCCUCAAGGUCCAGGGGGAGUCAAUGGCCGAGCUGGGAUGCGGAACCCUGUAGGCUGGCUGCUGGUGUCUGUGUCUUCAGCCCUCCCCUCUCUGGUUGGCAUUCGAGUCUUCAAAUCCGUGCUGCUCAGAGAGAGACAGCGCUUCUGAGGUGCUUCUUCACAGACAACCAGGUGAAGACGGGCCUCAGGAACUGCUAAUCCAGCAGGCUCCUCCUCAAGUCCUGGGAGCUGGCCCCGUGCCCCAGGGUCUAGCCCUGACCCUGUAUCUGGCCAGCAUGUACUGGUCCCCUACUCCCCUGCUCAAACCUCCAAAGGCCUUCCAUACGAAUUAGAAUCAAGUCCAAACUCCUAGCCACAGCACCGGGGCAAGCUGCCUUCCUCCUCCCCCAAUCUGCUCUCCUGCCCUGUUCCCCUCUGCUCCACUUCCUGCCUUCCUUCUGGUUCCCGAACACGCCCAGUUUGUACCUGCCUCAGGGCCUUUGCACCUGCUGUCCCUGCAGUCUUUACAUGGCUGGCUCCUUCUCAACAUGCGGGUCAUACUUCACCUGGAACUUGCUCAGUGAGGCCUUCUCUGACCACCCAGGCUAAAGCAGACUUAAUGCAAACACACUGAAAGAACGAGACAAAAGGAUGAUUCUUUCCCACCAGCAAGGGGAGGGUCAGGGCUGGGAUUGGACCAGCCCCUCCUUGCGUUCAGCAGAUACAGAGGCCGGGAGAGUGGACAUGAUCAGUCCCAGGACACAAGGUCCCCUAACAAGCCGGGAGGACAGACAGAGAGAGCAGCGUGGGGCAGCGCCGAGGAUAACGGGGCCUUUGUCCAGGGGCCUGGGGCCAUCUGCCUUCAGGACAAUGCCUUAGGGGUCUGGCAUCCCGAGGAUUUGUGCUGCCUACACGAGGCAGCAUCCUGUCCUGGGAGGAGAAGCACCCCUGGGAGGGGUGCGGACGGGUGCGCCAUCCACAGGCCCAAAUGCCUCCUUCCUUAGGAUCCCAUCCGACAGCCAGGGCUCCCGGCUUCCCCACCCUGUGCCCUCAUCCCUACCCCCGGGUCCUCUCGGGGCGCCCAGCACCUCAGUUUUACCGCCCGCUGUGUCCCAGGCCUGGGCCUCUCCCCCCAAGUCCUAGACUUCUUUAGGGCUCCCUAUGGAGCUGACCGGGUCCCCUCAGACCAUUUUAUUAAACACACUUCACUUAUUUACAGUAAUCUCAAUGCCUCCUCCGGGCUGCUCCCUGUAUGAGGCACUGGUCAAUGUCCAGCAUUAGCAACCAGCUCUCUUGGGAAAGGAAGGAAAAAAUAUAUACAUAUAUAUAUAAAAUAAAUUGUACUGACAUAAAGGAUGUGUAUCACACAAUUUACAAAUUAUAAUAAAAUGUAAACUCCGUACGAGCAGGUGAUUCACAGAACUCUUUCUUUCGUGGACUUUUGGCCCAACUCGUGGAUCAGUAGCCAACCUGUGCUUGCAAUUGACGAACGCGUGUAGUUCGGACACAAACGUUGGUUGACAUUUUCAUUUCAGCUGACUGGGAAAAUGAAAGCAAAACAACGAAGAAGCAUGUCAGACUUCACCUUUUUGCAAUGACGUGAACGACUUCUUUGCUGAAUCAGAAAAGAUUUUUUUUAAUCCUGGGAGAGUAUUUCCUCAAUUUUUUGUGCCAUUCGCAGUGUGACGUCGACAGACACGCCAUGAUCAAUCUGCAGCAUUAACAUUGUUUCCAUCGCUUUCUUAACUCCAGACAAUGAACAAAACAAUACCUCAGGCCCCGAUUUGCAGCGUUUGCCAGUUUUCGUGGUGUAAAUGCUCCCACAGCAGCUGAUCUCGAGCUGCCAGCAGGAAGUCACGGAACCCAGAAUUGGGACCAGGUGCUCAGUGGCCGCCACUGCCCACGUCUGCCUCACACAGACUCCCUGGACCAGUGUCACCUCGGGACCCGGUAGGAGUACGAUGCAGUGAUCACGGGGAAGAAAUGAGUUUUGAGCAUUUAUUACCUUUGUUCUUAAUAUAAUUGAUGUAAUUGCAAAUUUAAAUAAUUUAAUUUUUAAUAAUGUCUGUGUUUAACAACCGGUUCACAAAAUUUCUGAAAAUUUAGCCAUCAGCUCUCGCAAGCCAGUAUGAGCCGGCUCUAGAACACCACUGGCAGGAUCAUCUGGUUCCUUGCAAAAAUCCUACUUCUUCAACAUUCAUUUGACAGAUAUUUCCUGGGUAUCUACUACGUGCCAGGCAGUGUUCUAGAUGCUGGGGACACAGCAGAGAAGGGAGGUGAGGAGGGCCUGCCGUCGUGGAUUUAUGCUCCUCUGGGAGAGAGACAAGGAGCAUCUUCGAUACACAGAAGUUACUGUCUGUUCUAAGGCAAAGUCGGUGCCAGGGAAAAGAGAAGGGAAGACGAGGAGUGCCGGCGGGGUGGGGCCGUAAUCACAGAGUGGUCAGGAGCAGUUCACUGAAAAGAUGACAUUUGAGCAAAGACUUGAGGGAAAAGGAGAGAAGCAUGCAACUGUCUGAGGAAGAAAGUUCCAGGCUGUGGCCACAGCCAGUGCAAAGACCCUGAGGCAGCAGCGUGCCUGCCAUGUUUGAGGAUCGGUGGAGAGGUCCAUGUACCUGGAGCAGAGCGUGCAAGGGGGAGAGUGAGAAGAAGGUCACAGAGGAAGUCACACAGGGCCUUGGUGGCCUUUGUAGGGCUGUUGAGCUGAGAAGGUCUUACCUCCUUUUUGCAGAUGAAGAAACUGAGCCCUGGAGUCACACAGGUUCACCUUGGCAACCUGAAGCCGGCUCCGUCCACAAGCACCUCUCCUCCGCAGCGAGCCUCCCUCCGGGCUUAAAGGCACACCUCCCUCUCCUCCCAGCCGGGCUGCAGGACUCGAGGGAGGCAGCAGGGCUGAGCACUUCAGCCAGGACAGGAGCAGAAGGUGGGGGGAAUCCUCUCACCAACCAGCAGCCCCACUUCCACUCUGCGGUGGGGGCCUCCCCCUUUGUGUCCCCCCAGGCCCAGGGACGUCUCCAUAAAGCCCUCACCUACCCAGGACUGGGGCCGCCCCAGCUGGACUCUCCGUCUUGACCCUGGUCUUCUCUAGGGGGUGGACAUAUGAACCUGGCGGUGGCAGGCGCAGGCGCUCCUCUGUGGGGUUGGAGGGUUCAGGUUUAGGGGGAAAUCGUUGGUGUGCCUGCAAAGAACCAGGCAUCUCAUGAGCAAUGUGGAAACCGCGUAGUCGCAUUCAGGAGCGGCAUGCACCAGCGCUACAGACUGUGUGGGACAGACACUGGCCUCGCCUUUCUGAAAACGAGAGCUGCCCCAGAGCUGGGACAUGUCCUCCAGGACACCCAGUCCCCACCUGGGAGCACAAGGCUUCUUCAUAAUCCCUGAGGCAUGCAAGGGCCACCAGGCAAGAGAGGUUCCCCCUGGGUCGGGCUGAGGAGGAAGUGGGAAGUGAUGGGGAGCCAGGCUCACCCUGGGUUCUCUCACUUUAACACCCACAGCAUUGCAUCUGCGUCCAACUGUCUGUCUGUCUGUCUGUCCAUCAAGACCUAUUUGGAAAAAGAAGGCAGAAGUGAGGCUUCACGUAAAUGGGAAUGUAUCUUUGCCGGUGGGGAACAGAGAGGGAGAUGAAAAAGCCACAUCAGCAGAGUGUGUGAGAGUGAGCGCUCCCAGAUAGCUCAGUGUACACACAGCUGUAGCUGGUUUCACAAUUCCCAGAGAGAAUCGUCUCCCACGAAGGCUUCUGCAGCGAGAUUGCUCUGGUCCUGUGCAAUAUUUCUCUGCUUCGAUGGCACUCGCCAUCUCCCGGCUGAACACAGAAACCAGCAAUCACCAAUAGCUUCAGCAAGAGAAGGGCCCUUCCUCCACAUGGCCCUUCCUCACGUCUUCUUCCAUGACACUCUGCCAUUUCCUCGGAGCCAAAGAAAACACCAGUUUCAACAGCAUGGGGGCGGGGGGUGGGUAUCUAUUCCUGAACCUUCCGAGUUGGAUGAGUCAAGGAAGACAAAAUCACCCCAUUAAAAUUGUUACUGUCAAAUGGCAGGCAAUCAACUGGCAAACACAGGCCAGAUGGACCUUCGGAAGAAAUCCAUGGAUAGAGCCAGAGCUGGUUCCGAGGCCUGCGCGACUGAACUCUUUCAAUAAAAGGAGGAAAGAAAGGCAGGCUUGUGUUUCCAUGUCCUGGGGUCCCCUGUUACUUUUCCAUGCUUUUUAUUUCCACAGCAUCAGAAAGAAACCCGCAUCCCAAAGUGACAAGUGGCCAAGGACACCUGUCGGCACCAGGGCACACGUGCGAGUAAGUAUUCUGGACCCCCCGGGCCAUCAAUCAGGGGCCAACAGGGUUCACCUGAACCCCUCCACAAGGAGAGCUGGUGGACUCCAUUCACUGAGUCGCCCCCGAGGUUGACACCUCUCCCAGAAGCAGGCCCACCUUCCAACUUCCAUGGGCCCUGGGCACUUUGGCCUCGUGGGCCCCUUCCUUCAUAAAAAAGUGUUAAAAAUUAGUUUCUAAGUGCAUUGGUAUAAAGAUGAACACAUCAGUAUUAUAUAUUAAAAUACUUUCUUC